AUUGAACGCUGGCGGCAGGCCUAAUACAUGCAAGUCGAACGAGCAGCGGACGGGCGAGUAAUGUCUGGGCAACUGCCUGACGGAGGGGGAUAACUAUUGUAAACGGUAGCUAAUACCGCAUAACAUCCGAUGUGCCCAGAUGGGAUUAUCGACUAGGUGGGGUAACGGCUCACCUAGGCGACGCUCCCUAGCUAGUCUGAGAGGGUGACCGGCCACACUGGAACUGAGACACGGUCCAGACUCCUACGGGAGGCAGCAGUGGGGAAUAUUGCACAAUGGGCGCAAGCCUGACGGAGCCAUGCCGCGUGUGUGAAGAAGGUUUUCGGGUUGUAAAGCACUUUCAGCGGUGAGGCGUUACCCGCAGAGGAAGCACCGGCUAACUCCGUGCCAGCAGCCGCGGUAAUUC
rnacentral:rRNA from 1 species